UCUGUUCCUGAGAACUCACUGCUUCUAACUUCCGCUUCUUCUUACCCCUAGUCCCGACUUUCAGGAGGACUUGGCAUGUUCUUGCUUUUUGAUUUUAAACCCUCCUCGGAAACACUUCACUCCCCUCCCUUUCUCCUAGCACCAGGAGGAGUUUGGAAGGAGUUGGGCUUCCACGACAGCUCAGCCCUCCAAAGCCUGCUCUUCCCCACCACGAAGCCUGCGGUUCCAUUGGCUGUUGGCUCUCAGUCUGUCCUUGGUACCGUGCUCUGGCUGGGUGCUGGGUGCUCUCCUGGGGGCCCAGCUUCAUGCUUCCACCUGCACAGGCUCCUGGGCUGCGUCUUCCCCGAGUUCCCUGCUUUCCAGCUUCCGCCACCCAGCACAAGUCUGAAGCCAGCCUGCUUUUCCUCCUGUGGGCCCUGGGGUUUCUUCACAGACCUGUGACUUCUUGUCUCUGAAUUGAAUGACUCUCCUCUCAGGCCUCCCGGAUGCGGUGAGCCCUCUGACAGGUCAGCAGUUCAGGUUCCAACCUUGACUGUUCUCUCCUGUGGCUGAGGUACAAGAGGUUCAAAGUCCGUAUCAUGACUUUAAUGUGACACCCGAGACAGUUUCAAGUAGUCUUUGGGAUGUUUCAGGGAUCUGUGUAGGUGUAGAUGGACACAACACAACGUUUUUAUUUUUUAUGUGGUGC